GAAAUGCGAUAAGUAGUGUGAAUUGCAGACUUUAGUGAAUCAUCGAAUCUUUGAACGCACAUUGCGCCCCUUGGUAUUCCAUUGGGCAUGCCUGUUCGAGCGUCAUUUACACCCUCAAGCUACGCUUGGUGUUGGGCGUCUGUCCCCGCUUCCCGCGAGGACUCGCCCCAAAUCCAUUGGCAGCGGCAUCGCCGGCUUCUCGCGCAGCACAUUGCGCUCAGGAAGGCUCCCGGCGGGCUCGCGUCCAGCAAGAACCCCCCAGUUUGACCUCGAAUCAGGUAGGGAUACCCGCUGAACUUAA
rnacentral:misc_RNA from 1 species